rnacentral:tRNA from 1 species
ACCCCUGUAGCCCAAUUGGAAGAGGCACUAGGCUAAGGACCUAGAGGUUGCUGGUUCGAUCCCAGUCAGGGGUA